rnacentral:rRNA from 1 species
UACGUAGGGUGCAAGCGUUGUCCGGAAUUAUUGGGCGUAAAGAGCUUGUAGGCGGUUUGUCGCGUCUGCUGUGAAAUUUCGGGGCUCAACCCCGAACUUGCAGUGGGUACGGGCAGACUAGAGUGUGGUAGGGGAGACUGGAAUUCCUGGUGUAGCGGUGAAAUGCGCAGAUAUCAGGAGGAACACCGAUGGCGAAGGCAGGUCUCUGGGCAUUAACUGACGCUGAGGAGCGAAAAGCAUGGGGGAGCGAACAGG